AUGUCGAUCCAUGUGAACGACGAAAGACGGCUGCUUCCUGACACUACGUACUAGGCUAUCUGCCUUUGUAUUUUGCAUUCUUUGCACAUGGACAAUCUCUGAUCGGGAAAAACUUUCUUUCAAGACUUUAACAUCAUCUAAAUAACUUGCAAAAGCUGGCCAUUCGUCUAGUUCAGAAACCAUCUUCACCAAUUGAGAAUAAUUCGUUGCAAAUGUAACAUGAAAUUGACGUAAGUUCCUCAUGCAUUCUAUUGUCCAAAGUAAUGCUUCCAUCUCCGCAUGUAGAGGAGAAAGACUAGUCCGAACAUUCCUUGCCCCCAUCAA
rnacentral:lncRNA from 1 species